GGUGAACGCUGGCGGCGUGCUUAAGACAUGCAAGUCGAACGGCAGUCUUAGGACUGUAGUGGCGCACGGGUGAGUAAAGCGUAACUGACCUACCCCAAAGUCGCGGAUAACGAUUCGAAAGAAUCGCUAAUACGUGAUGUGCUGUGCGAUUGUGUUCUGCCAGUAAAGAUUGAUUGCUUUGGGAUGGGGUUGCGUUCCAUCAGCUAGUUGGUGGGGUAAAGGCCCACCAAGGCGACGACGGAUAGCCGGCCUGAGAGGGUGGCCGGCCACAGGGGCACUGAGACACGGGUCCCACUCCUACGGGAGGCAGCAGUUAGGAAUCUUCCACAAUGGGCGAAAGCCUGAUGGAGCGACGCCGCGUGAGGGAUGAAGGUCUUCGGAUCGUAAACCUCUGAAUCAGGGACGAAAGACACUUCGGUGGGAUGACGGUACCUGAGUAAUAGCACCGGCUAACUCCGUGCCAGCCGCCGCGGUAACAC
rnacentral:rRNA from 1 species